rnacentral:RNase_MRP_RNA from 1 species
AGGCGUCCUGAAGACCUGCUCUCUAGGCUACGAGCGGAGGACGCUAGUUCCUCUUGGGCCUGGCGCCCGCCUAGGGGAAAGUCCCCGGACCUCGGGCAGAGAGUGCCGCGCGCUUUCCAGUGCGCAGCAACCCGUCUCGCACGCUCACGCUUUCUCCGCUAAGAAGCCCCCAGGGCCGAGCGGGUGAGCGCGGGAGGGGCUUCUCGUCACCUCCAUAGUUACGCAGGUAGUGCGCAACAGCUUCUUAAAGAAGCCGCCGCACCAACAGAACGGGGCUCAUUCUCGGGAUGCC